rnacentral:rRNA from 1 species
GACGAACGCUGGCGGCGUGCCUAACACAUGCAAGUCGAACGGGGUAAUGACUUCGGUUAUUACUUAGUGGCGAACGGGUGAGUAACGCGUGAGAAACCUGCCUUUCAGCGGGGGACAACAGUUGGAAACGACUGCUAAUACCGCAUAAUGUUUCGAGAGGGCAUCCUCUUGAAACCAAAGCUUUAUGUGCUGAAAGAUGGUCUCGCGUCUGAUUAGCUAGUUGGUGAGGUAACGGCUCACCAAGGUAACGAUGCGUAGCCGGACUGAGAGGUUGAACGGCCACACUGGGACUGAGACACGGCCCAGACUCCUACGGGAGGCAGCAGUGGGGGAUAUUGCACAAUGGGGGAAACCCUGAUGCAGCAACGCCGCGUGAAGGAAGAAGGUCUUCGGAUUGUAAACUUCUGUUAGCAGGGACGAAGGACGUGACGGUACCUGCAGAAAAAGCAACGGCUAACUACGUAGCCAGCAG